CUCUGGGAAAGGGAAAGGCAGAGUGAGGAAUGGCCCCAGGGCUCCACGUGCAAGAGCAAUCCACCAACGACCACUGGGUGAGCAUUUGCAGCUUUAUGAGAAAUCUCCCCUUCCAUAAGAACAUGGCACAACGCCCCCCCAACAGCUCUGUGAUCAUGUGAGAGGUCACAACUCAGAGAAGACUGUAAGGGAGCAAAUCUGCUUCAAGGAAGCCCCCCUUGUCUCUAUGACAAAUCCCCCUUGUGAAGCUCAGCCCAAAGCUACUAUUGGCACUGACAGCCUGCUCUAAGCAACAACAAUCCAUGGCAACUUCCCAGGGGAGCACAGGACCCAGCUUUGACCCUUGUGAGGCCAAGCAUGCCCCAAAGGUGGCUGAUCCACAGGUGCUGCAACAAUCCCCAAAAAGCAGAGGAAGGGUAGUGCUUAAGCUGGCUGUGCAACAGACUCUGGUGAAAAGAAUCCCUUCCAGUGGCAGUGAGACACCCAUACUCACAGCAAAAAAGGCAAGAAUUUCUGGCCUCCGUCUGGACAUCUCAUCAAUGUCUGUCAGAACCUCCAGGAUGUCUGGGAGAAGACACAGGUUGAAAAGCUCCUGGCAAUCUGACUGUGCAUGGGCUAACGGGCAUAAGGAAGCUUACUGGAGUGGAUCCGAGUGCUUCUGCAAGAAGGAGACAGCUGCCUGGGCAUUGCACGUGAUGUACUUGUGGAUAAACUGC